CGUUAAUGGGCGUCGAGCGGCGGACGGGUGAGUAAUGCCUAGGAAAUUGCCUUGAUGUGGGGGAUAACCAUUGGAAACGAUGGCUAAUACCGCAUAAUGCCUACGGGCCAAAGAGGGGGAUCUUCGGACCUCUCGCGUCAAGAUAUGCCUAGGUGGGAUUAGCUAGUUGGUGAGGUAAUGGCUCACCAAGGCGACGAUCCCUAGCUGGUCUGAGAGGAUGAUCAGCCACACUGGAACUGAGACACGGUCCAGACUCCUACGGGAGGCAGCAGUGGGGAAUAUUGCACAAUGGGCGAAAGCCUGAUGCAGCCAUGCCGCGUGUAUGAAGAAGGCCUUCGGGUUGUAAAGUACUUUCAGUUGUGAGGAAGGGUGUGUAGUUAAUAGCUGCGCAUCUUGACGUUAGCAACAGAAGAAGCACCGGCUAACUCCGUGCCAGCAGCCGCGGUAAUACGGAGGGUGCGAGCGUUAAUCGGAAUUACUGGGCGUAAAGCGCAUGCAGGUGGUUCAUUAAGUCAGAUGUGAAAGCCCGGGGCUCAACCUCGGAACUGCAUUUGAAACUGGUGAACUAGAGUGCUGUAGAGGGGGGUAGAAUUUCAGGUGUAG
rnacentral:rRNA from 1 species